AGUUUUCUUCGGGGCAGGGUGAAAUUCCCUACCGGCGGUUACAGUCCGCGACUCCUUUCUUUUGAGAGGACUGAUUUGGUGAAAUUCCAAAACCGACAGUUAGAGUCUGGAUGGGAGAAGAAAAUG
rnacentral:ncRNA from 1 species